AAACUUUUAAGUGGUAUAUCCAUGUUAGUUGUGACUAUGCUACCACCAUCUCACUUUCUGACCACUAUCUACAGCCGGUGCCAUUUGCCUCCAGGCAGUCUUGUUAUAACCUAGGCAGAACUGAAGUUUAAGCCACAAAUUCAAGCACUGUGAUUCAGUGACUAGCCAAGGAGUGCUUUAGAGGGCAGGAUUUCUCCCAAGAUGGUUCAGUGAGUAGUCAUGAGAUCAGCUCACUCCCAGUAAUCACCUCCAAAUAGCAACAGCUGAUCCACAUAAGGUAAAAGAACAACAAUAAAGAGCAGAAAGGAAAGUAAUCUUCACACGGAAAAUGCCACGGGGAAAACAAAACAAAAAAGUAAAGAGACUGAAACAUGAGCAAGCACAAGAAAGGCCCUUCUACAAUGCAGAAAUACUACAGGGUAAACGAAUCUGAGGAGACAUCUCAAGAAGAAAGGAAUACUUUGUUAUUGCCCCCCAUAGCUGGUACACCAGAAAAGAGGAUGGAACAGGCACAAGAGCAGUUGAAAAUUCUAACAAAAGAAUUCAAAGAUGAAAUAAGGAGUGGAAUUAAAGUUCUUAAAGAAAAACUUGAAAAGAGAGCCAAUGUUUUAGAACAGAGACUGGAAAUUUUUAAUAAAAAGUUGCGCAUUCUGCAAAACAAAUUAGAAGAGAUGGAACUCCAAGAUGAAGAUAUGCAAUCUGAAA